rnacentral:rRNA from 1 species
GCAUAUCAAUAAGCGGAGGAAAAGAAACCAACAGGGAUUGCCCUAGUAACGGCGAGUGAAGCGGCAACAGCUCAAAUUUGAAAUCUGGCCCUCGGGUCCGAGUUGUAAUUUGUAGAGGAUGUUUUUGGUGCGGUGCCUUCCGAGUUCCCUGGAACGGGACGCCAUAGAGGGUGAGAGCCCCGUCUGGUUGGACGCCAAACCUUUGUAAAACUCCUUCGACGAGUCGAGUAGUUUGGGAAUGCUGCUCUAAAUGGGAGGUAUAUGUCUUCUAAAGCUAAAUAUUGGCCAGAGACCGAUAGCGCACAAGUAGAGUGAUCGAAAGAUGAAAAGCACUUUGAAAAGAGAGUUAAAAAGCACGUGAAAUUGUUGAAAGGGAAGCGCUUAUGACCAGACUUGGGCUUGGUUGAUCAUCCGACGUUCUCGUCGGUGCACUCUUCCGGUUCAGGCCAGCAUCAGUUUGCUUCGGGGGAUAAAGGCUUUGGGAAUGUGGCUCCCUCGGGAGUGUUAUAGCCCAUUGUGUAAUACCCUGGAGCGGACUGAGGUACGCGUUCUGCAAGGAUGCUGGCGUAAUGGUCAUCAGUGACCCGUCUUGAAACACGGACCAAGGAGUCGUCUUCGUAUGCGAGUGUUCGGGUGUUAAACCCCUACGCGUAAUGAAAGUGAACGCAGGUGAGAGCUUCGGCGCAUCAUCGACCGAUCCUGAUGUUCUCGGAUGGAUUUGAGUAAGAGCAUACGGGGCCGGACCCGAAAGAAGGUGAACUAUGCCUGUGUAGGGUGAAGCCAGAGGAAACUCUGGUGGAGGCUCGCAGCGGUUCUGACGUGCAAAUCGAUCGUCAAACAUGGGCAUGGGGGGCGAAAGACUAAUCGAACCUUCUAGUAGCUGGUUUCCGCCGAAG